rnacentral:rRNA from 1 species
UGGGGAAUUUUGGACAAUGGGCGAAAGCCUGAUCCAGCAAUGCCGCGUGUGUGAAGAAGGCCUUCGGGUUGUAAAGCACUUUUGUCCGGAAAGAAAUCCUUGGCUCUAAUACAGUCGGGGGAUGACGGUACCGGAAGAAUAAGCACCGGCUAACUACGUGCCAGCAGCCGCGGUAAUACGUAGGGUGCAAGCGUUAAUCGGAAUUACUGGGCGUAAAGCGUGCGCAGGCGGUUUGCUAAGACCGAUGUGAAAUCCCCGGGCUCAACCUGGGAACUGCAUUGGUGACUGGCAGGCUAGAGUAUGGCAGAGGGGGGUAGAAUUCCACGUGUAGCAGUGAAAUGCGUAGAGAUGUGGAGGAAUACCGAUGGCGAAGGCAGCCCCCUGGGCCAAAUACUGACGCUCAUGCACGAAAGCGUGGGGAGCAAACAGGAUUAGAUACCCUGGUAGUCCACGCCCUAAAACGAUGUCAACUAGUUGUUGGGGAUUCAUUUCCUUAGUAACGUAGCUAACGCGUGAAGUUGACCGCCUGGGGGAGUACGGUCGCAAGAUUAAAAACUU